AUUUAUAUAGUUUAAGAUAAAACAUUACAUUUUCAUUGUAAAAAUAAAAUUUAAAUUUUUAUAAAUU
rnacentral:tRNA from 1 species